AAAUAUCCAACCUCGGGGUUUGCUGCGAGGUUUCGGUCUCGAACUGCAGCACCAUGUCGAAAAUUUCUUUUAAGAUCACACUGACGUUAGACCCGCGGCUGCCAUACAAAGUACUCAGUGUUCCUGAAAGUACACCUUUCACAGCUGUCUUAAAGUUUGCAGCAGAAGAAUUUAAAGUUCCUGCGGCAACAAGUGCAAUUAUUACCAAUGAUGGAAUAGGAAUAAAUCCUGCACAGACUGCUGGAAAUGUUUUUCUAAAGCACGGUUCAGAACUGCGAAUAAUUCCUAGAGAUCGUGUUGGACAUUGUUAAUAUCCGCUGCUUGGAACAUAAAACCCCCUUCCAGAGUAAAUAUUGGUAAUGUUAUUGUUGUAAAAUUGUAAUCAGGCGUUUGAAAUCCUAUGAAAACAUCAGUAAUUGAUGACAUAGUGAAAGGUGACUGUCUGUCCGUGCUUGUUGACACUUCACGUGAGGAGAGAACGCAUCCAGGCCUAGGGCACCAUGACCACAGAGGAUCAGUCUUUCAUUGCUGCCUCGCUGCACACACAGGUAGUUCAUCAGGGGUGAAUGGAUCAACCAUCUGUGUCUUAUAACCUGAGGGUGCUUCUGGUCAUUCUUUCUGAGAACAUCUGGAAAAUUAAAAUUUACUGAAGCUUCCUUCUUGUCCCUGUGUUAAAAAUGUAAAAAAGAUUAUGGAUCCACACAUAACGGUUGGCUUGUUAGCAUCUGACUCACAGACAGAAACAUAGUUGCCUUCCUCCUUAUAUAUCAUUUAUGAUAAAGGAUCAUAUCAAUGAAUAACUAUCUUAUCAUUUAGCUUGUUUUAAAGUUUUAGACUUCUUGAGUUCUUAUAAGUUUUAAUUUGA